rnacentral:tRNA from 1 species
GCUAGCGUAGCUUAUUUAAAGCAUAACACUGAAGAUGUUAAGAUGGGCCCUAAACUGGCUUCGCGGGCA